rnacentral:rRNA from 1 species
UACGUAGGGUGCAAGCGUUGUCCGGAAUUAUUGGGCGUAAAGAGCUCGUAGGCGGUCUGUCGCGUCUGCUGUGAAAACCUGGGGCUUAACCCCGGGCCUGCAGUGGGUACGGGCAGACUAGAGUGCGGUAGAGGAGAGUGGAAUUCCCGGUGUAGCAGUGAAAUGCGUAGAGAUCGGGAGGAACAUCAGUUGCGAAGGCGGCUCUCUGGACCAGCACUGACACUGAGGCACGAAAGCGUGGGGAGCAAACAGG